rnacentral:lncRNA from 1 species
AUGACAUAACAAACAGGACAAUGUCUGUCGGCAGACUCCCAGCACUGCCCCCGUUCGCAGAGCUGGCCGUGAGCAGUGCUGGGAGUGCACACUCCUCUGCGACCUGGCUGCAGAAUUGACUGUUCAGAUCACACCCUUGAAAGCUAACACCUGAAGGAAGACGUACUGAAAGUGAGGAGUGUAAAACAUAUCUCUUUGGAGCUGGGAGGGAAACCUGGGGAUUUCAGUCACCUGUGACAUCUGUAGCAGCGAUGGAAGUGCAUUUACCUGGCUGACUUUCUGGUUCCUACGCCGUACAUCUGCUCUCACCUUGACGUUCCCCUGACAGCUUCUGUAAUGUACAAAGCCUUGUAGAAUACGAAGCAGGCACAGAAUCAGGAGUUUUUAGUGGCCUAGUCUGCAAGUUUCAUCCUAAGGUUGUCUACAAAAACAGUGCCAGUCUCUGUCGGUAAUGAGCCUGCAAGGGUGACUUGAGGUUGGGCCAGAUUGUGCCACGCACAAAGUGCAGAUCUCUCUGAUACAAUGAAUGUGUUUAGCUGUCAUGUUGGCUGGCGAGCCCGUAAGUGCUUCGUGCCCUCUUGCCUUCCUUCCCUGUGGAACUGCAUCCCAGCUGCUGGAAAGAGCCGUGCUGCAGGAGGAAUGGGCAAGGGCAAAAACAGGCAGCAGGUGAGUGCCAGCCCAUGUAGCGACCAAGGUGCUUGUUUACCUGAGUUGUGUAGCUGUUGGUUUUUUUGUUGUUGUUUUUUCAGUACUUUUGCAAAAAUAGCAGACACCAUAAUGGCAGAAUUUACAAAUUCGUAA